AUUGAACGCUGGCGGCAGGCCUAACACAUGCAAGUCGAGCGAGCGGCGGACGGGUGAGUAAUGUCUGGGAAACUGCCUGAUGGAGGGGGAUAACUACUGGAAACGGUAGCUAAUACCGCAUACAAUCGGAUGGGCCCAGAUGGGAUUAGCGAGUAGGUGGGGUAACGGCUCACCUCGGCAACGACCCCUAGCUGGUCUGAGAGGAGGACCAGCCACACUGGAACUGAGACACGGUCCAGACUCCUACGGGAGGCAGCAGUGGGGAAGAUUGCACAAUGGGCGCAAGCCUGAUGCAGCCAUGCCGCGUGUAUGAAGAAGGCCUUCGGGUUGUAAAGUACUUUCAGCGGGGAGGCGUUACCCGCAGAAGAAGCACCGGCUAACUCCGUGCCAGCAGCCGCGGUAAUAC
rnacentral:rRNA from 1 species